CCUCUCCCAGCUUCAUUUGGUCACACAGGGCCCAUGUGUGCCUGGCGGGUUUUGGGGGAGAGAAGGAAGGCCCUCCCAAAGCAUAGCAGACUUGCAUAAGUGGACUUUCUCGUUUCUAAGGAGUGGAAGGUUG
rnacentral:snoRNA from 1 species